rnacentral:ncRNA from 1 species
AAAGUCCCCGACCAUUGAAGGACCAGCAAUCCACAAGGUCCCCGAGUCAUGCGUUGCAUACCGCGAGGUAUGGGGCGAAGCGUUGACAGGGGUGUUGACAGGCCAGCCAUUGAGCCACGAAAUCUAUAUUAAAUUACCGGGUGCCGACGUUGUACUGUUAACGGAAGGCAACAUCAUAGGGUGCAAUACUGCGAGUGCCACAUGGACCCGGCGGGGUCUGAGACCC